rnacentral:rRNA from 1 species
AUGUGCCGCGGCCUGCUGGUUGCUGCGGCGCAUCGCAUCGAAGUCAACUCGCCCAACCCCAGACCUCCUAUCCUCUCGAAGUGGCGAGCUUACACACCCGCGGCAGACUCGUGGAGUAGCAGACCACCCAUGGCACCGGGGUGGAGCUCGCAGCGCCGAAGGGGGCCGGGAGUCCGGGCUGUGUUGUUGAAGAAGCAGGAGAGACUGGACGCGGGCGUCGCGCUGGCCGCAGUGACCGGAGGGAAGGCGCGGCGUCGCCGACCACGGCCUCCGCACAAUCCUCAUCAUAAUAGCCAUGGCCGCCAUCAAGUACCCUCGCACGCAUCUCUUGCUUAA